rnacentral:rRNA from 1 species
AAACGAGGAACCCUAGCUCCCUUUCUCCUUCCCCUCGACCCCCACGAGCCGCUGCACCCCUCCCUCUCCCUUCCGUGCGUGUGCUCGGCCAAGGACGCCGCCGUCGCCCUCGGCUCCUCCUCCAGCACCUCACCUUUUUCUCCUCCUCGCCUUCCCAACGCUCACGCGCAUGUCGCGCCAUCGGAGAACAGGACAGUGCGGGUCGCUUCCUCCUUUUCCUCCCGCCGGAUCUAAGGCGUGCGGCCGUGGAGGCGAGCCUCUCCGGUGGCGGCGGCAAAGGGCGACCACAUGGAUCGGUCCCUGCAGGAGAGAGAAGAUGGGAGAGAGGGAGAGAAGGAAGGAGAGGAGGGAGGCCCUGCGGCGGACGGGAGAGGGUCACCGACCGCGACGAGGUCAGGUACGACCUGGUGGUUGGUGGCGGCUCGAUCCACUCCUGGAUCCUUCUUCUUCCACUUCCCCACUGCCUAACACCAAGGAAGAGGGCUGGCCGAGGAAGAGGGCGAGGACGCGGGGAUUGAAGAGGGUGUUCCUGCGUUCAUCGCCCGGCCAAGGACGAGGACGACAACGUGGGGUGGAGCAUGUCAUCCCUCUGGUUAUCACCUCCUUUCUGCUACUGGGCGGAGAUGAGGGUUUUCUCCACCGAUUGUGGUGGCCUAAGUCAGAGAUCGACAGCCAGAUGCUUGUGGCUACCACACAAAACGUGCUCUCUUGCUGACCUCGAGGUCCAGACGCAAUGGAUCGUCUCCAAGGUGUUUCUCCGACCAGCAACAACAAAACUCCGCACUUUCUCAAUUGCGCUGUGAUUGGUUCAUGUCCACCAAGGCCGUUGCGUUGGUCGCGGUACUCGGCUUCCUUUGGGUUUGCUUGCUGUCGAGGAAGAAGAAAGGUGUGAACUAUGUGAAAAUGGACAAACCCACUGUCCCAGAUGGUAAUGAAAAAACUGACACCAACUAGCUCACUCUAUAAAUUUUGUCUAGGCUCAAGCUAACUACAUAUCUGCACCACGAUUGCUCACUGGGGAUAUAGAUGUAUGCCUAACAUCAGGUAAUUACCACACCAUAGUAGCUGCUCGCUGGGAAUAUAGAUAUAUAUUUCAUUUUGCAGGUUUGAAACAAGCUGGUUCCUUUAUGUGAAAUUGUUUAUUCAUGAUUUUUUAAUGUAGAAAUCAUUUCAUUAAUUAGUUUUGUAUGGUCCGUGUGAUUCAUGCUGCAAUGAUUUUCUUCAGUCGGUUAAUCGUGUAGUAAUUAGACGGUGUAGUACUAUGGCGGUGGUAUACUGAUAUGGUGUUAGAAUCACUAACAUGGCUUCGUGGGUACAAAUCUUACAAGGUUUAUGAUAUUAAGAAUUAGCAGCGUGUUUUUUUGUUUACUGCGGGAUGAGCUGUUUUUCGUUGUUGAUGGAUAUGCAUGCUUACUGUUCUCCCUUCAAUUGAAGGGCUCUCGAGGCUUAAAAAGUUUCUAGGAUAAUUGCGCCGUUGAAUCUAAAGGUCUAUGAUUGGUUCCUCAACACAUGUAUUGAUAAGAUUUUUUUUAAUCCUCAAUAUGUUGGUGCUUGCCUGACUUGUCCUACAUUUGUGAGGUUGUUGAGGAAGUUCAGUUCUUGCAGGAGGCGUAAAACUUGAGUUGCCAGUUCAACGAAAACUUAGAAUAAAGAAGGAAACUUUCUCAGUUUUUUUUGCUCUUCUCAGAUUUUAGGGUGGGUGUAUUAACAUAUAUGCCAUACACUAACUUUGGAUCUCAAUGUAAGAUUAAAUAGGGAUGAAUCAUAGCGCCAUGUUGAAAAAUUGGAACUACAGAAAAGAAAGGAAAUUAUUAAAGAAGGGACAAAGUUCAUUAGGUUGUUGUGGUGUUUCUUUAUAAAUAAUGACAUUCUAACUUGCUUGUUUAAUUUAGGUGUGUAGGUUAUAGGAGAUACAAGGAGAGAUAUUUCAGUUGCAAUCGAGCUUUCUUUCAAAGUGAAACAUGGUAGAAAUGCAUAGCAUGCAAGGUGUUUUACUCUACAGUUCUGGGACGCUAUGGUGUCAAUUUUGAACUUGCAAAAUGAACUGUAAAAUAUUUUAAUGCCUUGGGGAAUGAAGUUCUCUUUACCUGCUCUCACUACUUCAUAUCUGUUUAUUUAGCAUGUUCUACGAUCUCAUUUGCUGCAUCUUGAUCUUCGGCUUUGCUAUAACUCUUUUUUAAGGGAUUGCUAUAACUCUAUUUUGGUGCUUGAGGUUUGCUUCCUUUUUUGUAGCCACAUGCGUAUUCUUUCUAGCUACAUGCAUGUUUUCAUUUUGCUCAUGGAAUAGUUUAGUUAUAUUCAUUAGUAGCAUCUCUAUGUUAUUAGAUACAAACAUAAUAUGCUUCUUUAGUGAGGCCUUCUCUUCUUUUUUCUGUGAGAAGUGUGCCUUCUCUAAUCUGGCAAUUAUCUUAUUUGUUGUUGCAUAACUAAACUGUAAAAUAUUUUAAUGCCUCUGAACAUAGCCUAAUUUAUCCACAAAAAGAGUUGCCGUGUUUGUUUCUGCUGCCAAGUUGUGCAUCAGCAGGGAACUCAUUCUUCCAGUAGGCUGGAACUGUUGCAUUUGUUUUUGCUGCCAAGUUGUGCAUCAGUGGUUGAGCUCAUUUUUCCAGUAGGCUUGAACUGUCGCGUUUGUUUCUGCUGCCAAGUUGUGCAUCAAUAGUCGAGAUCAUUUUUCUGCUAUUUCUCAGGGACAACCAAGAUCAUGAAUCUGGACUCCGGCUUCCGUGGUAUUUCUGUGUGCCUCGACUUUGGCUCCAUGCUUAUUCAUUAAUUUAGCGAGAUUUAGGACUUCGAAAGUUGUAGCAUGAGUUUUUGGCCAAGACGGCACAUAUGAAAAGUUAGCCAAGGAUGUACGAAAUCUUAUAUUUGUAUUUUCACAUUUUGGAUUCACCAUGUCCAAAUGCAAGC